AAUGUGGUGCCUGAUUAAAGGGUAGUUUUGAUAGAACUAAUUAAGUAUAAUAAUACCCAUAUUA
rnacentral:tRNA from 1 species